CAAAUAUCGUGUUGAGAGAUAUUAAUUAUGUUAUUACCAGUACAAAUAAUAAUAUAUUGGUUUUAGUCUUUCAAUAUAUAAAGUUUAAACACUAAGAUAGGAAUAAAAGUAUAUUUCAAAUUAUUUUGUAAAAUAUUCACUAACCCGUAGGAUAGUUGAAAUACAUAUUUUUUGUCACAGAUUAAAAUAGUUGAAUGUACAUUAACUUGAUACAAAAAUUGAAUAAUUAAGAAUAACGGUGAAUUUUUAUUUUUUAAAGAAUAUAAAAAUGUAUAAUUUUAAUUAAGUAUACAAAAUAAAGAGAAUUACAAAAUAAAAUGUAUACAAAUUAAUUUUACACAUUACAAUCAAGCCAGGGUGAAUAAUUAAAAAUAACAUUCUAAUACAUUUUAGUUUAUAUCCAUUCAAAAUAGUUUUAUAUAUGAAAAAUUAUUACCUUGUCCAAUAAUAUUCAGAAUUUAUUUAAUACAAAUGUAAAAAACAUUAUACACAAAUGAUAGUAUCGUAAAAUGGGAUGAACGGAAACAUUUUUGAACUUUGAAGUAUCAUAUAAACUAUUCUAUUUGGGCUACAUAAUUUAUUAAUACACCGAAAUUUCUCUAAGUACUUUAAGUAUGUAUAUUCAAAAUAUUUGUAUUCUUAACAGAUUUUUGUUUUUUAAUAUAUUUUUUUAAGUGCUCUGUUUCGAUUUUAUUCACCUGUUAGGCAGAAUUUAAUUUUAGAACUAAAUAUAUACAUAUAUAAUUUAAUGAAUGAUGUUUAGGUAAGGCAGUAUUUAAUUAUUAUAAAGUUUUAAAGUUUAGUUUGAACUGAAGUGAACCACAAUUGUAUGGGGUUGGUUUAGAUAAUUUUCCUAUGGUUUGUUCAAAUUGAAGCUCAAAUUAAUCUUUCACAUUUGGAAAACAAUAAAUGUAUCCAAAAUCUCUGGUGUUUUUUUCCUUAAUAAUUUUCCUAAAUGACCAUAAUUGGUUUUUUUUUAAAAAAUAAUUUGUCUAUUAAAAGAUGUGUAGUACAUCUUGCUUGUUGUUGAUUACCUCAAUCUCUUACAUAAUUGCAUUAUAUUUUUGCAAUUUUGAAUUUGUUAGACAAAAAUAAAUUAACUCUUAGUGGUUUGAAAUAAAAUAAUAAUGCUUACGAUUUAUUAAAGCUAAUAAUAUUUAGAAAACUAAGCCAAGAAAAGAAAUUGAAAUAAAUAAGUUUAAACCGCAAAUGGUAACUUUGAAUUUUGAAUAUUUUUCACUAAUAAGAAAUGUUUUGGUAUAAAAAAAUGUCUUACUUAUAAAUGUUGGAUUUAGUGAAUGUUUCAUAUUGGUAAAACUAAAACUGAAUUAUAAGGAAAUAAAAAAAAAUUCUUAGUAUUAUUUCUAUUCACACAAUUUUAUGGUAAUACAAAU